rnacentral:lncRNA from 1 species
CCAAAUGUCCGUCGAUAUCUCUCUUCUGAUUGGCCAUCACCCUUCCCUCAUAAUAUUUUAGAGAAAAAUAGCGUUGCUUUGGCCACAGUAGCGCCCACAAUCUCCGUUUUCUUCAACACCAAUCACGAGUUAGCAGCUUUGACCCCUCUGUUUCUCUCUGCCUUCACUUUCAGCCUCAUCAUUCUCUGUUUCAUAGUUUUGUAAGCAGUACAAAAUAUAACUCAAAAG